rnacentral:rRNA from 1 species
ACCCUGAUCCAGCCAUGCCGCGUGUGUGAAGAAGGCCUUCGGGUUGUAAAGCACUUUCAGCAGUGAGGAAAGGCGUAAGGUUAAUACCCUUGUGCUGUGACGUUAACUGCAGAAGAAGGACCGGCUAACUCCGUGCCAGCAGCCGCGGUAAUACGGAGGGUCCGAGCGUUAAUCGGAAUUACUGGGCGUAAAGCGCGCGUAGGUGGUUCAGUCAGUCAGAUGUGAAAGCCCCGGGCUCAACCUGGGAAUUGCACCUGAUACUGCUGAGCUAGAGUACGGUAGAGGGUAGUGGAAUUUCCGGUGUAGCGGUGAAAUGCGUAGAGAUCGGAAGGAACACCAGUGGCGAAGGCGACUACCUGGACCGAUACUGACACUGAGGUGCGAAAGCGUGGGUAGCAAACAGGAUUAGAUACCCUGGUAGUCCACGCCGUAAACGAUGUCAACUAGCCGUUGGGGGACUUGAUCCUUUAGUGGCGAAGCUAACGCGAUAAGUUGACCGCCUGGGGAGUACGGCCGCAAGGUUAAAACUCAAAUGAAUUGACGGGGGCCCGCACAAGCGGUGGAGCAUGUGGUUUAAUUCGAAGCAACGCGAAGAACCUUACCUACUCUUGACAUCCAGAGAACUUUCCAGAGAUGGAUUGGUGCCUUCGGGAACUCUGAGACAGGUGCUGCAUGGCUGUCGUCAGCUCGUGUUGUGAAAUGUUGGGUUAA